CGUGGAGUGAUUUGUCUGGUUUAUUCCGAUAACGAGCGAGACUCUAACCUACUAAAUAGUUCGCCGAUUGGCUAAUCUGUCGGCGUUAACUUCUUAGAGGGACAAGUGGCGUUUAGUCACACGAGAUUGAGCAAUAACAGGUCUGUGAUGCCCUUAGAUGUCCGGGGCUGCACGCGCGCUACACUGGCAAAAUCAACGUGCUUGUCCUUCCCCGAGAGGGGCGGGUAAACCAUUGAAAAUUUGCCGUGAUUGGGAUCGGAAAUUGCAAUUAUUUUCCGUGAACGAGGAAUUCCAAGUAAGUGCGAGUCAUCAGCUCGCGUUGAUUACGUCCCUGCCCUUUGUAC
rnacentral:rRNA from 1 species